CCACUUCUAAUAGUGUACAUAUUGAAUUUUCCCAUGAGAAUAUACAAAUCUUUACUAUAUGAUAUUUGGUUAAAAUGUCACCUCAUACCUCUAAAGUUCCGAUCAUAUAAGUUAAAUGAACAACUUUUUGAAAGCCAUUUUACAAUAUUGGUAAUUCAUUCACCGAUUUUCAGAAAAAAUCAAACACUAUUUUCAUGUUUACGAUUUUAAGUAUCAAUUUGUCUAUUCACUCAAAAUAUUACUUCCAUAAUACCAUUGAAGCACUAAAAUGAAGUUAACUUCUCCAGGAAACAAGUAACAUACAUAAAACUAAAUUUUUAUAACAAGUACAAAAUGCAACUUUAUUCAUGUAGAUAAUAAUAUCUAUCGAUAAUCAAAUAACUUUAGAAAUUUCAAAUGACAUAGUUCAACCGAGAAUACUGAAAUUAUUAGACUGAACAUUUUUCGUAGUUGUUCAGNNN
rnacentral:lncRNA from 1 species